rnacentral:lncRNA from 1 species
UUUAUCAAUGCUCCUGAAAUUUAGCCGGGCAAUUUUAUUCAAUAAUUGACUAUACUUGUUUGAUAUUUUCUGGUUUUUACUUAAUUUUCUCCGUUUGGCAGCAGCAACAAUUCAAAAAUGAGAAGCUAAGGGGGCCUGAUUAGGCUCCCUUUCCACUACUUCAAUAAUUAGUCCCUAUUGAUAAAGGCAUGUAGAUAAAGAUGGUCGUAUUUUAUUAAUCCUUCUGAAAUUUAGGCAAUUUUAUUGGAUAAUUGAGACUAGAAGCGUACUUAUUUGAGUCAUUCAGUCAAUUUUACUCAUUUUCUCCGUGUGGCAGUGGUAACAAUUCAAAAAUAGAAGGCGUGCCUGAUCAGGCUUCCUUUAUACUAAAGGGGGACUAAUUAGUCCCCAUUGAUAAUGGCAUAUAGAUAGAGCAACACUGAGCUCCACCUUUGAAUUUACUAUAUGAGUAAAUUGUUAAACACGUCCGAAUUUAUCAUUAUGAUAUUCGCGGCACAUUUUGAAUUUAUCAAUGAAGUAAAUCAUAAAACCACAAGCAUUAGACAAGAGUUUUUAUUAUAAAUGUAAUGGCACUAAGGGGGAAGCUGGUCGCGCAGAUGUGGGGAGACUUUCUAGAUUUUCAGAAAAAAAUUUAAAAAAAGGUUGAAAAAGUGAGUUUAAAAAGUUAGAUUUUCAAAAAAGUUGAAAAAAGUUAGUUUAGGGUUAGGGUUGAGGUUAGUGUUAGGUGCCGCGAAUUUAUCAUGAUAAAUUCGGAUGUGUUUAACAAUUUAAUCAUAUAGUAAAUUCAAAGGUGGAUCUCAUGUCGAGAUAGAAAUGGUUGUAUUUUAUCAAUCUUUCUGAAAUUUAGGAAAUAUUACCUAAUUAUCAAGACUGGAAACGUAUUUAAACUUUAGAUAGAAUGGAUGAAAUCUGAUGG